rnacentral:lncRNA from 1 species
UUUUUCCCUCCUGCCACAGUCCAGGGUAGGAGAUACUUCUCCAGGCUCUCACUUAUGGGGGCUUUCCUGCUGGCUACAUCACUGAAAUGGAAUCUCCUAGUGGCCCUUCUCCCUCUACAGCUCUGGUGUUACACUGAAAAACUAGAAGUUUCAAAACAGACAAGGGAAAAAGAGAAACAUCAGAAAGUCUGAUUAAAGUAGAAGCAUCAUAUUUCUAUCAACGUAUCCACUGUGCUUGGACUCUGUAAUAUUCACCGGCAGGAAAACCCAAGGGAAUGACUACUAUGACAUCUGAUGAACAAUGCGGGAGUUGCAGAGAGAGGUGUCCUGUGUUUGUUCCCAGUCUUCCUUCACUCACCUGCACCUGCUCCUGCCCUGCUUCGGCCAACAUGUUCUAUGCAGCUGCUCACUGAUGUCACUUAGAGGAAGGCAGGGGCACAAGAUGGGAGGACCCAGAGCUCCGGGUUCUUAAGAAAUCUUCUCCAAGGGCAACUCUGAGUGGUGAAGACAGGAUGGAGUCAGUUGACUCUAGACCUUGUCCCAGUCUACUACUUUCUACUAUGACCUCCAGCAGGGCUGGGAGCUACACAGGCCAGGGACUUUGUUUUCUUCCCCGUCUUUCCUCAGGGCCCAUCACAGAAAUGCCUUUAGGCCCUCUUCACCACCUCACAUCUGCAUCUCAACUCCAGGCAGCAGAGUUCAUAUCAAGGGCCCAUGUUUUAACUGAAUAUAAUGAAUUUUUUUUUUCACCUUGGAAGAGUCUUAGAGGCAAGAUUAGAAUGUUCAUCUAAAAGGAGUGCAAAUUUCUUCAACCAUUCCCACGGAGGAAGGUGAGCUCAGACUCACUUUCAUCUGUCCCUCUCCCCCAUGUGCUUGGCCAGGGUAAGGGACCUCAGGAGGGCCCCCCCAGUCUCCCAGACAGCUGACUCUCCCUGUGUAAAUAAUUCUAAUGCUCUCAGUUAUUCACUACUCAUCUGAGCCACCUAUUGAACUAUAAGCUUCAGAAUUAGCUUUGUACAACCCACACCCAGCACAGGGUCUGGCAUUUAUAUGUGUUCAUAAAUGCAACAAAUAAACAUUUAUUAAAAUGCA